rnacentral:rRNA from 1 species
CCUACGGGGGGCAGCAGUGGGGAAUAUUGGGCAAUGGGCGCAAGCCUGACCCAGCAACGCCGCGUGAAGGAAGAAGGCUUGCGGGUGGGAAACUUCUUUUCUCAGGGACGAAGCAAGUGACGGUACCUGAGGAAUAAGCCACGGCUAACUACGGGCCAGCAGCCGCGGUAAUACGGAGGGGGCAAGCGUUAGCCGGAUUUACUGGGUGUAAAGGGCGUGUAGGCGGGACUGCACGUCAGAUGUGAAAACCACGGGCUCAACCUGUGGCCUGCAUUUGAAACUGUAGUUCUUGAGUACUGGAGAGGCAGCCGGAAUUCCUAGUGUAGCGGUGAAAUGCGUAGAUAUUAGGAGGAACACCAGUGGCGAAGGCGGUCUGCUGGACAGCAACUGACGCUGAGGCGCGAAAGCGUGGGGAGCAAACAGGAUUAGAUACCCCAGUAGUC